CCCAGACUCCUACGGGAGGCAGCAGUGAGGAAUAUUGGUCAAUGGCCGCAGGGCUGAACCAGCCAAGUCGCGUGAGGGAUGACGGUCCUAUGGAUUGUAAACCUCUUUUGUCAGGGAGCAAAGGGCGCCACGUGUGGCGUUUUGCGAGUACCUGAAGAAAAAGCAUCGGCUAACUCCGUGCCAGCAGCCGCGGUAAUACGGAGGAUGCGAGCGUUAUCCGGAUUUAUUGGGUUUAAAGGGUGCGCAGGCGGAAUGUCAAGUCAGCGGUAAAAUUUCGGGGCUCAACCCCGUCGUGCCGUUGAAAUUGGCGUCCUUGAGUGAGCGAGAAGUAUGCGGAAUGCGUGGUGUAGCGGUGAAAUGCAUAGAUAUCACGCAGAACUCCGAUUGCGAAGGCAGCAUACCGGCGCUCAACUGACGCUCAUGCACGAAAGCGUGAGUAUCGAACAGGAUUAGAUACCCGUGUA
rnacentral:rRNA from 1 species